GGGCCCGUGGUCUAGUUGGUUAUGACGUCGCCUUGACAUGGCGGAGAUCCGGAGUUCGAAUCUCCGCGGGCCCA
rnacentral:tRNA from 1 species